rnacentral:rRNA from 1 species
ACUCCUACGGGAGGCAGCAGUGGGGAAUAUUGCACAAUGGGCGCAAGCCUGAUGCAGCCAUGCCGCGUGUGUGAAGAAGGCCUUCGGGUUGUAAAGCACUUUCAGUCGUGAGGAAGGUGGUAGUGUUAAUAGCACUAUCAUUUGACGUUAGCGACAGAAGAAGCACCGGCUAACUCCGUGCCAGCAGCCGCGGUAAUACGGAGGGUGCGAGCGUUAAUCGGAAUUACUGGGCGUAAAGCGCAUGCAGGUGGUUUGUUAAGUCAGAUGUGAAAGCCCGGGGCUCAACCUCGGAAUAGCAUUUGAAACUGGCAGACUAGAGUACUGUAGAGGGGGUAGAAUUUCAGGUGUAGCGGUGAAAUGCGUAGAGAUCUGAAGGAAUACCGGUGGCGAAGGCGGCCCCUGGACAGAUACUGACACUCAGAUGCGAAAGCGUGGGAGCAAACAGGAUUAGAUACCCCUGGUAGACUGUCA